AGUUUGUGUGGGCACACACAGCAGAGAAAUGAGCCUGUGCUCUGAAGUCCUAAUUCCAUGGCGGGUCAGUGGGAGGUCCCCCAUAUCUGUGUGCCAGGGGGAUUCAGAGGAGUUUGUCCACAUUGAGAACCCCUCAUGUUCCCUCUCAGUCUAUUUCAUUGUUGUUGCAAAUGAAGCCAGAAUUGACUUUGCUUUGAAUUCCAGAUAAUUCUCCUCAGGAAUGAAUCUGAAUAUGAGCACAAAGCUGUUUGUGGCAGUGCUGUUUAACUUGAUUGUUUCUUCCAGCCGUGAGGAGCGAAAGAUUGAUGCUUUUCAAGAGAUGGAUGGCUUUGAGAGGGCUCACAAAAAUUUCAGUCCCGGUGAGAUGGAAAGGGUGGAGAAGAUGGAGCAGCUGGAAAGGAUGGUGUUGGACCUCCAACAGGACGUCCUAUCUCUGAAGAAGAAGGUGCAGAGGCUGGAAUCCCUGUCCUUCCAGGAGGAGCCCCACCGACAGCCGUGUGAGGUGGUGGAGCUCUUCAAUGGCUACACCAAGGAGCAGCUCAAAGAGACCAUCAGGUUUGACCAGAAAAUCAGCACAGCUUGCAAGACUCUGCUCUACAAACUCUUCACCUCUGACUACAUCCAGAGCCACUCCAUCACAGGGCGCAGGGGCAACACCUUCCGGGAGGCGAAGCCCAUGAUGGACGAACGCUGCAUCAAAAUCAUCCGGGUGCUGCUGAAGCAGAAGUUUGGGGAUCACCUCAGUGACACCGUGAUCACGGAGAAGAUCCAGAACGUGCAGAAAGCCCUGAGGCAGAAGUUUAAGACAGAAUGUCUCUGAGGAGUGGGGGAUUUGGUGUCUCCUCCUGCCAUUCUCUGUGUGUCCCUGAGCAGCCUUCCCAGAAGAGAUGAGCCGAGAAGCUGCUGCUCAGUAGAUUUCUCCCAGGGAGCCAGCCCAAGUAAACCAUGUGCUAAACACAGCUCAAACACUGCCAAAGCUCUGCCUUCAUUAACUGAGCAGGAGCUGGGCCCAGCUUGGCUCAGUUUUUGCUCUCUACCAAGUUCCUUCCCAUCCAGUCUGUGUGAGAACCUCACUGUGGAUGCAUGGAAUCACCUUUAUGACUUUGAUGGUAUUCAAAGGCUUCAGGGCUCCAUUUGAGUCCAAGAAUGGGUCAGAAAAGUAGCCUUGUUCCACACUGCAGAAAUAUUGGCUUUGGGAUAGGGAAUCCAGCUGCACACAGCCUGUGUCAUCCAGUGUGGCUUCUCUCUCUCUGCCUCUGGUUGCCUCAUUCUGCCUGUGGGACAAUAUUUACUCUUUCCUCACAGUGAAUAUUUUAUUUCCAGCACUAAUGGAAAGGCAGGCUCAUUAAAAUGACACCUUAAAACAUUCCGAAAAACAUAAUUUGAUUUUUUUCUGUCUAUUUGAAUGCAGCU
rnacentral:lncRNA from 1 species